rnacentral:rRNA from 1 species
UACGUAGGGUGCAAGCGUUAAUCGGAAUUACUGGGCGUAAAGCGUGCGCAGGCGGUUCUUUAAGACAGAUGUGAAAUCCCCAGGCUCAACCUGGGAACUGCACUCGAAACUACUUCCCUUGAGUGUCGGAGAGGAAAGCGGAAUACCUGGUGUAGAGGUGAAAUUCGUAGAUAUCAGGUGGAACGCCAGUGGCGAAGGCGGCUUUCUGGAUGAUAACUGACGCUGAGACGCGAAAGCGUGGGGAGCAAACAGG